UACGUAGGGUGCGAGCGUUAAUCGGAGUUACUGGGCGUAAAGCGUGCGCAGGCGGUUCGUUGUGUCGGCGGUGAAAGCCCCGGGCUCAACCUGGGAAUGGCCGUUGAAACUGGCAGGCUUGAGUGUGGCAGAGGGGGGUGGAAUUCCACGUGUAGCAGUGAAAUGCGUAGAGAUGUGGAGGAACACCGAUGGCGAAGGCAGCCCCCUGGGCUAACACUGACGCUCAUGCACGAAAGCGUGGGGAGCAAACAGG
rnacentral:rRNA from 1 species